rnacentral:rRNA from 1 species
GAUGAACGCUAGCGGCAGGCCUAAUACAUGCAAGUCGGACGGGAUUGAGAAGCUUGCUUUUCAUGAGAGUGGCGCACGGGUGCGUAACACGUAUGUAACCUACCUUAAUCAGGGUGAUAGCCUCUCGAAAGAGAGAUUAACACCGCAUAAAAUCAAUUUAUGGCAUCAUAGAAUGAUCAAAUAUUUAUAGGAUUAAGAUGGGCAUGCGGAACAUUAGCUAGUUGGUAAGGUAACGGCUUACCAAGGCUACGAUGUUUAGGGGAGCUGAGAGGAUGACCCCCCACACUGGUACUGAGACACGGACCAGACUCCUACGGGAGGCAGCAGUAAGGAAUAUUGGUCAAUGGGCGCAAGCCUGAACCAGCCAUGCCGCGUGCAGGAAGACGGCCCUACGGGUUGUAAACUGCUUUUGUACCGGAAUAAACCUUUGUAUGUAUACGAAGCUGAAUGUACGGUAAGAAUAAGGAUCGGCUAACUCCGUGCCAGCAGCCGCCGUAA